CAAUGGCACUCCAUAUUUACAUUCAGGUUAAUUUGACCAAAAUAUUUAGGGAUAGAUAUUAAGAAGCAUGACGCUUAUCACCCCACUAGUCCUGGGGUGGUGGAAAUGGUUGAUAGGAUCAAUUAAUAAUGACCUGGGAAGAAAAAAAAAUAUAUAUAUAUAAAAAAAACAAUAAACAGGCAUUAAUUGGAUUAAAAGUCUUUCCCCUGGUCCUCCGGCAAAGCGGAACCAGAUAAGAAAAAUAUAAACAGGUCUCAGUGCCCUUGAGAAAUCGAGCCAACAACCAGCCAAUCACAUCACGCUCCGAAGAUCACGUGACAGGUAGCGCCUCACGGCUCAGAGCCGCUCAACGCGAGUCACAGCCCCCUCCGCUGCUCCUCUCGAGUAGGUUGAAAAGAAGAUGGAGAAGUUUCAGCUUGCAGCUAUGAAGAGUUCACCACGAAAAGAAGGAAGUCAAAGAAUACAAAGAUCUGUCCAUAUUCUGAAGUCACCACUUGAAGAUUUUAUGCAGAAUUAUUUGGAUUAUGAAUAGGAACCACAUUAUUUGCAACAGCUUUUAUUAUUUAUACAAACAAGAUGAACAUGAUAUGAUGUGCCAGAAUAUAGGGAGGCUGCCUAAAACAUACAAAAAAAAAAUACAGAACACAUGUAAACAACUAAAGAAAAACAGAACAUGGCACAUGUAAAUAAAUCAAAUAAACACAGCACAGACUGCAUGAAAUUGGAUUUCUUUAUUUGUUCUUUAAAAGUUUGGAGAAAGGAAACCUGUGGAAUACAAAAGAAACUUGAAAAAUUACUGCAUUUGAUACAUGGAUAUAAUUAAACAAUUUAAGAACAUUA